AAGAAGCAAGGAGUACAAUUGUUCUAUUCCUUGUUUCCUGUUUUUUUUUUUGAGACACUUGGUCUUGCUUUCUGACAC
rnacentral:ribozyme from 1 species